GAUGAACGCUGACAGAAUGCUUAACACAUGCAAGUCGAUGGGGAAGUGGUGCUUGCACCAUGGCAACCAUGGCGGACGGGUGAGUAACGCGUAAGGGACUUACCUGCAGGACUGGGAUAACAGGGGGAAACUCCUGACAAGACCGGAUAAUGUCAUGGAGCUGCAUGGCUUUAUGAUGAAAGGAGACGCCUGCGGAGAGCCUUGCGUCCUAUUAGCUAGUUGGUGAGGUAAUGGCUCACCAAGGCGAAGAUAGGUAGCCGGCCUGAGAGGGUGGACGGCCACAAGGGGACUGAGAUACGGCCCGUACUCCUACGGGAGGCAGCAGUGGGGAAUAUUGGACAAUGGGGGCAACCCUGAUCCAGCAAUUCUGUGUGCACGAAGAAGGUUUUCGGAUUGUAAAGUGCUUUCAGCAGGGAAGAAGUAAGUGACGGUACCUGCAGAAGAAGCGACGGCUAAAUACGUG
rnacentral:rRNA from 1 species